ACUUUUUUAGUAUAUAAGUAUAUCUGACUUCCAAUCAGAAGGACUAAACAUUUAGAAAAAGUA
rnacentral:tRNA from 1 species